rnacentral:rRNA from 1 species
GGUUUGAUCAUGGUCAGAUUGAACGCUGGCGGGAUGCUUUUUACGCACAUGCAAGUCGAACGGCAGCACGACUUCGGUCUGGUGGCGAGGGCGAAUCGGGUGAGUGUAAUGGUCGAACGUGCCUAGUAGCGGGGGAUAACUACGAAAGUUGUAGCUAAGACGGCAUACGCCCUUCGGGGGAAAGCGGGGGACCUUCGGGCCUUCGCACUAGAGCGGCCGAUAUCGGAUUAGCUAGUUGGUGGGGUAACGGCUCAUCAAGGCGACGAUCCGUAGCUGGUUUGAGAGGACGAUCGUUACACUGGGAUCGAGACACGGCCCAGACUUACGGAGGCAGCAGGGAAUUUUUGACGCUGGGGAACUUCGAUCCGUUUUUAUCCAGGCGUGGGUGAUGAAGGCCUUCGGUUAAAAAAGCACCUUUGGCAGAAGAACGGCACGAUGAACAUCCCAGUAACCGACGGUACCUGCAGAAUACACCGGCUAAACUGACGCGCCAGCAGCCGCGGUAAUACGUAGGGUGCAAGCGUUAAUCUGAAUACCGGGCGCAAAGCGUGGCGGCAGGCGGGUUCGGAAAGAAAGAUGUAAAACUGUUUAACUUCGGAACGUAUUUUUAAUUACCGAGCUGAGUGUGUCAGGAGGGAGGUGAAUUCCGCGUGUAUAAGGAAAUGCGUAGAUAUGCGGAGGAACACCGAUGGCGAAGGCAGCCUCCUGGGGAUAACACUGACGCUCAUGCAAUUGCGCUGUGGGGAGCAAACAGACGAUACCCUGGUAGUCCACGCCCUAAACGAUGUCAACUAGCUGUUGUGGGGCCUUCUGGCCUGGUAGCGCAGCUAAUUGCAUGAAGUUGACUCGCCUGGGGAGUACGGUCGCAGAUUAAAACUCAAAGGAGUCGAUUUGGGACCCGUGACAGGCGGUGGGAUGAUGCGGAUUAACUGAUGCAACGCGAAAACCUUACCUACCCUUGACAUGUUCGGAAUCCUUGAAGAGAUUUGGGAGUACUGCAAGAGAACCGAACACAGGUGCUGCAUGGCCGCCGUCAGCUCGUGUCGUGAGAUGUUGCCGUUCCAACGAGCGGCAACCCUUGUCAUUAGUUGCUACGAAAGGGCACUCAUCGAGACUGCUGGUGAUAAACCGGAGGAAGGUGGGGAUGACGUCAAGUCCGUAUGGCCCUUAUGGGUAGGGCUUCACACGUCAUACAAUGGUUGGACAGAGGGCCGCCAACCCGCGAGGGGAGCCAAUCCCAGAAACCCGAUCGUAGUCCGGAUCGCAGUCUGCAACUCGACUGCGUGAAGUCGGAACGCCAGUAACGUGGACCAUGUUGCUGCGGUGAAAUACGUUCCCGGGUCUUGUACACACCGCCCGUCACAACUAUGAGUGGGUUUUACCAGAAGUAGUUAGCCUAACCGUAAGGAGGGCGAUUACCACGGUAGGAUCUAUGAUCGGGGUAAGUCGUAUUACAGGAAG